GAUGAACGCUAGCGACAGGCUUAACACAUGCAAGUCGAGGGGCAGCAUAAAAGUAGCAAUACUUUGGUGGCGACCGGCGCACGGGUGAGUAACGCGUAUGCAACCUACCUAUCAGAGGGGAAUAACCCGGCGAAAGUCGGACUAAUACCGCAUAAAACAGGGGCACCGCAUGGUGAUAUUUGUUAAAGAAAUUCGCUGAUAGAUGGGCAUGCGUUCCAUUAGGUAGUUGGUGAGGUAACGGCUCACCAAGCCGACGAUGGAUAGGGGAACUGAGAGGUUGGUCCCCCACACUGGUACUGAGACACGGACCAGACUCCUACGGGAGGCAGCAGUGAGGAAUAUUGGUCAAUGGGCGGGAGCCUGAACCAGCCAAGUCGCGUGAAGGAAGAAGGAUCUAUGGUUCGUAAACUUCUUUUGCAGGGGAAUAAAGUGCAGGACGUGUCCUGUUUUGUAUGUACCCUGAGAAUAAGGAUCGGCUAACUCCGUGCCAGCAGCAGCCGCCGUAA
rnacentral:rRNA from 1 species